GAUCUCGGGAGAGACCGCCUUGUCAUGGUGGCGCCGAAGGGGAACGGAUGCGGAUAACUCUCAGGCAAAAGGACCGGGAUC
rnacentral:ncRNA from 1 species